GGAGAAAUAGCUCAGUGGUAGAGUGUGUGCUUAGCAUGCACGAGGUACUAGGUUCAAUCUCCAGUAUCUCUA
rnacentral:tRNA from 1 species